CCGAACGCGGCGGCAGGCCCACACGAUGUAAGUCGAGACGGAUCCUUCGCGAUUAGUGGCGGACGGGUGAGUAACACGUGGGAACGUGCCCUUUGGUUCGGAACAACUCAGGGAAACUUGAGCUAAUACCGGAUGUGCCCUUCGGGGGAAAGAUUUAUCGCCAUUGGAGCGGCCCGCGUCUGAUUAGCUAGUUGGUGGGGUAAAGGCCCACCAAGGCGACGAUCAGUAGCUGGUCUGAGAGGAUGAUCAGCCACAUUGGGACUGAGACACGGCCCAAACUCCUACGGGAGGCAGCAGUGGGGAAUCUUGCGCAAUGGGCGAAAGCCUGACGCAGCCAUGCCGCGUGAAUGAUGAAGGUCUUAGGAUUGUAAAAUUCUUUCACCGGGGACGAUAAUGACGGUACCCGGAGAAGAAGCCCCGGACUAACUUCGUGCCAGCAGCCGCGGUAAU
rnacentral:rRNA from 1 species